GAGUUUGAUCAUGGCUCAGAUUGAACGCUGGCGGCACGCCUAACACAUGCAAGUCGAGCGGCAGCAUGAUGUGUAGUAAUACACAUUGAUGGCGAGCGGCGGACGGGUGAGGAACACGUAGGGAUCUACCCUCAAGCGGGGGACAACCAAGGGAAACUUUGGCUAAUACCGCAUAAACUCGGAAGAGAAAAAGUUGCUCGUAAAGGGUGACACUUGAGGAGGAGCCUGCGUCCGAUUAGCUAGUUGGUAGGGUAAGAGCUACCAAGGCGAUGAUCGGUAACUGGUCUGAGAGGACGACCAGUCACACUGGGACUGAGACACGGCCCAGACUCCUACGGGAGGCAGCAGUGGGGGAAUCUUGGCAAAAUGGGGGC
rnacentral:rRNA from 1 species